UACGUAGGGGCCUAGCGUUGUCCGGAUUUAUUGGGCGUAAAGAGUGCGUAGGCGGUUCGUUAUGUCUGUGGUGAAAGCCCUGGGCUCAACCUAGGAAUGGCCAUGGAAACUGGCGGGCUGGAGUAUGGCAGAGGGGGGUGGAAUUCCGCGUGUAGCAGUGAAAUGCGUAGAGAUGCGGAGGAACACCGAUGGCGAAGGCAGCCCCCUGGGCUAAUACUGACGCUGAGGCACGAAAGCGUGGGGAGCAAACAGG
rnacentral:rRNA from 1 species